rnacentral:rRNA from 1 species
GUAACCUACGGGGCGCAGCAGGGAGGAAUAUUGGUCAAUGGGCGCGAGCCUGAACCAGCCAAGUAGCGUGAAGGAUGACUGCCCUACGGGUUGUAAACUUCUUUUAUAAAGGAAUAAAGUGAGGAACGUGUGCCUUUUUGUAUGUACUUUAUGAAUAAGGAUCGGCUAACUCUGUGCCAGCAGCCGCGGAAAUACGGAGGAUCCGAGCGUUAUCCGGAUUUAUUGGGUUUAAAGGGAGCGUAGAUGGGUUGUUAAGUCAGUUGUGAAAGUUUGCGGCUGAACCGUAAAAUUGCAAUUGAUACUGG